rnacentral:pre_miRNA from 1 species
AAUAUAAGAUAUUUUGAGUUUCUACUUGCAACGUUUGACCACUCGUCAUAUUCAAUUUUUUUUUGAAAUUAUUAUUUAUUUUAUUUGUGACUUACUUUAUCAUCCACAGUACUUUAAGCAUAACUUUUCGUUUUUUAUAUUUGCAAAAAAAAAUUGAAUAAGACGAGUGGUCAAACGUUGUAAGUAAAAACUCAAAAUCCCUUAUA